rnacentral:rRNA from 1 species
UACGAAGGGGGCUAGCGUUGUUCGGAAUCACUGGGCGUAAAGGGCGCGUAGGCGGCCUGAUAAGUCGGGGGUGAAAGCCUGUGGCUCAACCACAGAAUUGCCUUCGAUACUGUUAGGCUUGAGACCGGAAGAGGUAAGUGGAACUGCGAGUGUAGAGGUGAAAUUCGUAGAUAUUCGCAAGAACACCAGUGGCGAAGGCGGCUUACUGGUCCGGUUCUGGACGCUGAGGCGCGACAGCAUGGGGAGCAAACAGGA